GUUAUGAUGAAAUUAAUUGGUCCGUGUUUAUGAAUUGUUUUGAUUUCACCACUCCAAUUACUGAAUCAU